rnacentral:lncRNA from 1 species
UGAGGAAACUGAAGCUUGGAGAGAGAAUGCAAGGCUUAAGGGCAUGCAUGUCUUAGGUCAAUCAGCAAAUAUUGAGGACCCAGAGGAAAAACCAGCCACCAUGUUGUAAGGAUGCUCAAGUAGCACUAUGGAGAUUCACACGUGGCGAAGAGCUGAGGCCUCCCACCAACAGCCACAUGAGGGAGCCAGAGUGGGAGUGGCUCCUCCAGCCCCAGUUGAACCUUCAGAUGUGACAGCCUCGGCUGCUGACAGUUUGCAAUCUCAUGAGACCCUGAGCCAGAACCACCCAGCUAAAUCAGUCCUGGACUCCUGAUCAACAGAAAUGACCAAAGAGAGGCGUUUUGGACAUUAAGACGCUUUGCUGCUUCUCACCUGAAACACGUAACAGGAACACCAACCUCUUCAGCCACAGGAAAUCUUCUUUGACACAAAACUCAAACCAAGUCAACCCAAAGUUCCAAGUUCUUUGCUUUCUCUUCUGUGUGUGUGUUGGUUUGUCCCAAAAGUCAGUUUGCAAGUUGAAACUUCAUGAAAUUACUCGUAGCAGAAAUAAAGUACAUUGUACAAAUCACGCAGGUCUGCGAUGUGGAGUAUAAAAAUGGUAUUUACAGCCAGUAAACAUGGACCAGAAAGACACGUACAACUGC